ACGGGUGAGUAAUGUCUGGGAAACUGCCCGAUGGAGGGGGAUAACUACUGGAAACGGUAGCUAAUACCGCAUAACGUCGCAAGACCAAAGAGGGGGACCUUCGGGCCUCUUGCCAUCGGAUGUGCCCAGAUGGGAUUAGCUAGUAGGUGGGGUAACGGCUCACCUAGGCGACGAUCCCUAGCUGGUCUGAGAGGAUGACCAGCCACACUGGAACUGAGACACGGUCCAGACUCCUACGGGAGGCAGCAGUGGGGAAUAUUGCACAAUGGGCGCAAGCCUGAUGCAGCCAUGCCGCGUGUAUGAAGAAGGCCUUCGGGUUGUAAAGUACUUUCAGCGAGGAGGAAGGUGUUGUGGUUAAUAACCACAGCAAUUGACGUUACUCGCAGAAGAAGCACCGGCUAACUCCGUGCCAGCAGCCGCGGUAAUACGGAGGGUGCAAGCGUUAAUCGGAAUUACUGGGCGUAAAGCGCACGCAGGCGGUCUGUCAAGUCGGAUGUGAAAUCCCCGGGCUCAACCUGGGAACUGCAUCCGAAACUGGCAGGCUAGAGUCUUGUAGAGGGGGGUAGAAUUCCAGGU
rnacentral:rRNA from 1 species